UAGGGAAUCUUGCGCAAUGGGCGAAAGCCUGACGCAGCCAUGCCGCGUGAAUGAUGAAGGUCUUAGGAUUGUAAAUUCUUUCACCGGGGAAGAUAAUGACGGUACCCGGAGAAGAAGCCCCGGCUAACUUCGUGCCAGCAGCCGCGGUAAUACGAAGGGGGCUAGCGUUGCUCGGAAUUACUGGGCGUAAAGGGCGCGUAGGCGGAUGUUUAAGUCGGGGGUGAAAGCCCGGGGCUCAGCCUCGGAAUUGCCUUCGAUACUGGACAUCUUGAGUACGGGAGAGGUGAGUGGAACUCCGAGUGUAGAGGUGAAAUUCGUAGAUAUUCGGAAGAACACCAGUGGCGAAGGCGACUCACUGGCCCGUUACUGACGCUGAGGCGCGAAACGCGUGGGGAGCAAACAGGAUUAGAUACCCUGGUAGUCCACGCCGUAAACGAUGAGUGCUAGUUGUCGGCAUGCAUGCAUGUCGGUGACGCAGCUAACGCAUUAAGCACUCCGCCUGGGGGAGUACGGUCGCAAGAUUAAAACUCAAAGGGAAUUGCGGGGGUCAUAGCUG
rnacentral:rRNA from 1 species